GCCGCCGCCAUUGCAGGCAACCUGAUGCAAAAACUGAGGUUGAAUGAAGGGAAAAGUUGGUCCGACGCCGUAGCUUCGGAGGAUCUCCGGGGAGGGGGUUUUUUCUUGGGUGGAGGAGGAAGAGGAGUCGACGGUACUGCUAGGGCUAGGACUGUGGUUGAUCUUUUGAGGAGAAACGUCGAUGGAGUCUUCAGGCAGAGGGAAAUUGGUUUUAGCCUUAGCGCCGCGGAACUGGCGGGCGGCGGUGUCGUAAGCACGCGCCGCCUCCUCGGCUGUAUCGAAGGUACCUAGCCAAACGCGGCUUUUCUUGCCGGGAUCUCGGAUCUCGGCGGCGUAUCGGCCCCAAGGCCUCUUCCGAACGCCUCGGAAAUGGAGUUCUUUGCCAUUGUUGUUGUUGUUGGAAAGAGAAGGGAGGUUCUUGGCGGUGGAUUUCUCCUUGGAAACCAUGGCGGUUGUAUUUUGUUAAUGAAAAAGGAGAGUGGUUGAA
rnacentral:misc_RNA from 1 species